rnacentral:tmRNA from 1 species
GGGGGCGAAAUGGCUUCGACGGGGAUAAAGAAACGUAUGUUGCAUAUCGAGCUUCCUGUCUGCUCGUUAAACGACUGGAAACUUAAAUAUAAUCGCAGAUGAUUAUAACUACGCAGUAGCGGCAUAGCUACCGUCCUUUCAGACUACUCCCGCGGGUUUGAUAUGGACGACGCAGCGGGAUAGCAUUAGUUAUAUUUCCGACGUAACUAAUGCAAAAUAAAGCCGGAAUAGCUUUUUAAAUAUCGGGUCCGAAGGAGAUUUGAAAAGCAAAAUAUAAAAUUCGGACUAAAUAUGUAGAUGCAUACGCGGAAUGUUUUCGGACGCGGGUUCAAUUCCCGCCGCCUCCACCA